CGUCCGAAGGUGUCAGUGAUCAAACCUGGAAGUAAAAAAUAUGCAUCGCUGAGCACAGCCGGGAUGAAAGUGAAUUUAACGUUAAAUGAGAGCUCUGACCGCCAUCCAUUGGUCUGCUCAGCGUCUUACAUGCUCGGUAGACCUUGUUAAGCCCGUUUAAUACGUUUUCACCCAAUAUGGUAUAGUAUGGAUUCGAGUCCAUGAGCAGACCCUAACACGCACUAACAAGGCACUCUAACCUGUACGGGGGAUUGGUGUAUAUCCCCGGAUAAACUUCUCUGCGUCCAAAACCGAGGAGAGCCAAAUCUUCUCACCGGAAGGCGGGGUAAUUCUUAGUCUUGCAGGGAAGAGUAAGGCUGGGCGAAGAUGGAGUUUGUAGAGUUUGGUCAUGACAUCUCUGUAGUCGGCGCGAUGCUUUGCCACAUCGGGCGCAUAAUCCUCAUAGACACGGAAUGGAUGCCCUUUAUGUGACAGGUUGCCCCUCAUUCGAGUUUCACGCAGGAUAAGAUCAUUGGUCUUGAAACUGUGACAACAGAUUAUUACUGGGCGAGGACGUUGGCCCGGUCCAGGCACUGGGACAAGGGAGCGAUGUGCGCGGUCCAGCUGGGGAUCCGAAUCCAAAACAUCCGAUCCCAUUGCAUCCUUCAAUAGCUUGGCGAAGAAGUCGGUAGGGCGAGAGCCCGCCUCUAUCCCCUCUGCCAGACCAACAACGCGCAGGUUAUUACGUCUGGAUCGGCCCUCCAGGUCCACCACUUUCACAGAAAGCCCCUGCACAGUAUCCUGCAAUGACGUGCAUAGCUUCUCUAACUCGUCGAUCCUACCAGCGUUGAAUUCAGAAGCUUUCUCAAGGUCCACAAUACUCUGGCCAUGCGAAGCGACCGUUCGAAUGACGCUCUCGAUUUUGGUGUCCAGCUCAGCAAUAGUGGCCUUAAGAUCCUCCGCUAUAGCAACACGUAGCUCCCCCAAAGCCCUGGACUGUGGAAUCUAGUCUUCCUCUUCUCCAACCUCUCCUUAUUCUUCCUGCUGCCCUUUGCCUACUUCUUCACUGAGUCUGACGGCUUCGCUGGAUCCAAAAAUGUACCUGCUUCAGUGACAGAGAAGACUGGUUAGAAGAUGUGCUUGAGCCAAAUCCCCUGAGUAUUGUUGCCAUGGGUGUGAUGGCUCGUCUGUAUGAGACAGCACUAGUCCUCUUCCUCCUGACCCUGUUGAUACUGGGAAUGGUGUGGGUGGCAUCAGCCAUACUUGAUGAUAAUAUGGCCAAGUCUUUAUGUAUGUCUCUGGGAUUAUCACACAUGUUCAGUAUCACAGGAAGCCUACUGGUCAAACCAAAGGGCUGCAUAUAUUGCUAUUGACUGUGUCCCGCUCCACCAUCCCACUCAGGCUCCUAUUGGCUAAUGGACAACGAUUCAGUGACACUUGAACAAGCUAAUGACAUGGGCUUACCAAAGUGAGCUUGCCAAAGAGCAGUGUCUCCAAAUAUUUAUCUGUAGUAAAUUCUCUUUGAAAGAGAGAAGGGGAUUGACCUGAUGGAUGACUGGUGAUCCUGUUACUACUAAAAUGAGAAGAGGAGGAAACUCUGGACUUGGACCUCAGACAUGAUUAUACUUCAGAGUAUAGGUACAGGACAGGUAUUGCACCAAGGGGACCAAUGCCAGUCUCCUCUUCUGUCAGGUCUAUAAUGGAGUAUGUGAGAAAUAAAUUGAAAAAAAGAAAAAAAGGGGAGGAAGACAAUGGUGAAGGAAACAAAAUGUGAUCUGUGUAUUUGAGAAAGACUGUUUGUGUGCGUGUGUGGAUCUGUCUGCCAGUGUACAUUCAUGUUUCUGCGCAGCGUGUUGUGUACAUGCAUGGAGAUUUUUCUCCAAUAUUUUUUCCACGUUCCUUUUAUUUUGUAAAUUACGUUUUUCAAUUAUGAGUUUGUGUCCAUAGAUUUAUGUUGACCUCAAGUGAAUGUUCAUAUGUUAUUGUCUCACAGGGGUAAAAACACUCCUCAACCUCGCCUGAAUCAUACAAAUGGCCAAAUGUGUUGUCAUAUCAAUGCCAGAACAGUCAGCUACUACAUGUUCAAUUAUCUGUAUGUCCUGUUAAACUGUAUUCUUUACGAUGAUGUAUGAUUGUUAGCUAGCUAUAAAAGUGAACUCUGGUUAAAAGUAUAUGAAGAUUGUUUAAAACUGUGAAUAUCUAAACUGAAGAGAGUUUUGUAAGGACUCCUCUACUGGAACAAUACAUGUUCUUUUCAGUCUGUUUCUUACACCGUUGCUGCUUGUUUUGAUUUGAGCAUAGCAUACCCACUGAGAACAUAUAUUGAUUUGGCAACCCUGUUUCACCCCAAUCUGUAAGUUUGCCUGAAGUUUUUAGAGCCUCAAAAGUAGGCUAGUCUUUAUAUACAAAUCCCUUCUCCCACACCAUCUGUUAUGUGUCUAGUACCAAAUGGUAUGGUAAAGAUAAGUCUAUCAUCAUUUUAAAUCGUUUCUAUCUUCUUUAAUUGUGUAAUUAAGGGGCUACUGGGGCUACACAAAGAUGGCAUAAGUGUACUCAACCUAACUUGCUUAACUUUUUAAGCAGCUAUUUAACAGAUUUUGAUUUUGUUGUGGAGUGAUCACUUUCCACAUAACAAGGAUCACUGUACACAUUCAUGGUUGACAGGGCCUGGGCCAUAAAAUAAGCAUAGGCCUAUUUAAAACUGAUAAGAUGUUCUCUGUGUGGUCCUCUGUAGCUGAGGCUCUGAGCUGUCCGAUCAGGUCCAUUGUCUACUUGCUUGCUCUGUAGCUCAAUUGGUACUACUGGCGCUUGCAACGCCAGGAUACUGGGUUAGAUUCCAGUGCUUGACUUGGGCGGAAGCUCACCGGAGCUGAGUAGCGGCACCUCAAAUGUUCUCCUGCUUAAGCUCCUGUUCCUGUUAUAGAAUAUUAGUUCAAACGUAUUGUGGAGCUCCUGCACCUAAAUAUAAACAGUACCAACACCCAAAAUGAGUACCGGCGCCUAUUUCAGUCCAAGUCAAGUAUUGGGGACCAUCCAUACUUAGAAUGUAUGCACGCGUGAAUGUAAAUCGUUUUUGGUAAAAGCGUCUGCUAAAUGGCACAUAUUAUUAUUUAUAAAAAAAUAUAUGUUUCUGUAAAAGGAUGUAUAUGUACGGUCAUUGAGCAUUUAAUAAUAAAAACUGCUGAACGUG